AUCUAACUGACGAGUCCCAAAUGGGACGAAACGCGCUUCCUGGAU
rnacentral:hammerhead_ribozyme from 1 species